CUUUGUAAAAACUUCUCAUAUGCUAACUUUUUCUCCCUUACUACUCUCUUUACAUCAUCAUUCCACCAAUCCCUCCUCUUCCCUCCUGCACCCACUUUCCUGUAACCACAAACUUCUGCUGAACACUCUAACACUACAUUUUUAAACCUACCCCAUACCUCUUCGACCCCAUUGCCUAUGCUCUCAUUAGCCCAUCUAUCCUCCAAUAGCUGUUUAUAUCUUACCCUAACUGCCUCCUCUUUUAGUUUAUAAACCUUCACCUCUCUCUUCCCUGAAACUAUGCAUGGAAAAUAUCCAGAUAUUUGACUAAUUUUUUUAAUUAGCAAGUACAGUGUAUUAUUCUUUGCAUACAGUAUAUAGCUCACAAUGUUUAAAGUCCCAUUUUUUAAAAAAUACUUAAACAGUACUCAGAUUCAGUAAUGUGUGUUAUUUGGAUUAUAUUUUUGUCUUUUGCUGAAAAAUCUGUACCUAGCUUUAUAUACUCCUGUAUUAUAUGUUAUUUGUUGAUACAGAUUUAUUCAUUGCAAUGUGACUCAUGAAAUAGUGAUGACAUAAUUCCAAUAUACUUUUAGUAAACUCUCAGUUUAAAAGACUUCAGAAAUACUGUACCAGACAAAAUCCUAUGUGUCACUUCAUUUAGAAAUAAAAGACAGUGUUGGUUACAGAAUUGUCUGCUAUUGUUACGAUCACAGCAAGACAAUCUUGAUUCCAUCUAUCAGUCUCUGUUACUGAUUAUCCACCUCUCUGUUAUUCCAUUAAAACAAGUGUUUGCUGCAUUUCACCACACAUUCGUGUGUUUUAUUUAAUAGUCACAAAUUUGAUUAGAUAUGUUUAUCAGUUUACUUAAUCAUUAAAGUACUGUCCAUUAAUAAUUGUUAUGUAAGAAAGCAAAAUCAGAACUUGUUUUGGAUAGCCUUUUCAAUUAUUUGAAAUUCCCAUUUCAGAUGAGAGUAUCCUUACAGUGCAUUACUGAAGUGCAUUUUCUUAAUGUUAAUGUCACUAAUUAUUCUGUAGAUACUGUAGUCAUGUUCCUAUAAGUGUUUUUCACAAGCGAUGAAUGGUAAAUGGAUUUGCAAAUUUCAGCUAGCGAUUACUCUGCGAACAGUGUCUUCACUAUUUUGUAUGCAUUUUGUCUACAGAGAAUUCGUUUAAACAGGACAUUCAGUUAUUAUAUUUGCCAUAAUCUGUUUUAGAUUUUUUAAUCUGUUAGCCAGCUAUUAAUGUUAUGGUUUGUUAUAUAAUGUCAUUAGUUUAGCCACUACUUCACAUCUUAAAAUACCCCAGGCCCAACUUCAGGAAAAACACGUGUCGCAAAGCUUAAACAGUGAAAAAAAUAAAAGUAAAUUAAAUUAAGCUGUUGAAAAUAAUAACAAAUAGCACAUUUGAAAGUUACUUGAAGCUUCACAGUGGAAUAUAAAUUUAAAAUUAUCUUUGUGCAUACAGCUAAAUAGAUGAACUAAUGGUUUAUUUUAAAGAUUAUGAAUUAAAUUUUACCCUGAUUAGAUAUUUUAUAAAAAUAGACGUAGCUUGAUCAAUACAAACAUGUUUUGGUGAGAGCAGAAUGAGUUAGGCAGUGAAUGGUAUGUAAUUUUUGUUGCAAAAGAUUUCUUAAUCUGUUUUUGGAUUAAUGUCCUAAUCUUUUGCUAUCAUCAUAAUUGUUUUGCAUAAGGACAAUAAUAAUAUAGCCCCUGGUGUUCCUGCACAACAUUCACAUGCUGAAUAUUGCUCAAGUUGAAAUAUUUACUGCCAGUUGAGCCUUCAAGGGGAUGCCUUGGUACUGGUGAAGAGUUCCUGAUCCAGGGAGUUGAAGCUACCUUUUCCUUUUGAUAUAACCUGAUUACCUCCUAUUUCCCAGCUGCUGUAUGACCCUCUACAAGGCUUAGUGCUUCCCCAUGAAUAUAACAACACUGCCUUGGUUGGAUGGCCACUUCAGUUGUGCACUCAGUGUAUUGCUCUCACUACUUUUAUCCCUUAGGAUUUUUAAUACGCUUAAUAGUACUAAGGAAAAAAGGAUGCUGUAGCAUAGACUAAUGUUUAUACCAAAUAAUACACAUCUGACUAAUACAGGUUAUUUGCAUGUACCUUUUUAACAUAGUGUAAUAAUGGUACAUUAGCUGUGUUGUAUAAAACCUCAUUGUCUUCUUUGCUUAUGCCAUGCAAACUUUGUGGGCUAGAUCAUUAUUUUUUCACAUAUUGGAUUCAGGAUCAUCACAGAAUUUUGAAAGUAUAUUUGAGAUUCGGUUGUAUUGAUCCUUACUUUGAAAUAGCAAAAGCAUACAAGACAAGAGGAUUUCUUGAAGCUGUGAUAGUGGCAUAAUUGACUCUGAAGACAGCUACUCUUUUCCCUCCCCCUCUCGACAGGCCAGUAGUCAGCAUGGUUACCAGGUAUUCUCAACUCAACAUUUGUUUUCACUACUGCUUUGCUUAGAAAUGCUCUCAUGCCAUGCUUAUUAGAAAAACUAUUAGCUGCUGUUUAAACACACAAGUAAUCCAUAUUCAGAAAAAAGAUGUUGUAUAUGUCAAGUUUUAUUUUCAAUUUUUCAUUUUAACUGUGUUUAUUAUUCCUAGACAGAGCCAUGGCGGUGGCUCUGGGGUGUAGUGUUUAAUAAAAUGGCACACUUGGCCCAUUUGCCUUGCAUGGGCCAGUAGGCCUGUUGCAGUGCUCCUUCUUUCAUUUAUUAUUUCAAAUCCACAAAAAAAAAGAUGUCUGGUUGUGGCAUGUAGCCAGGUGCAUGAUGAAAUGUACCUACUGGAAUAUCUCUAGAUGCUGAAGUGUUUCUGGGUGUUGGGCAGGCAUGCACUGCCAGAACUUGUUAGGGAAUUUGUCACUGAGCAAAGUUGCCAGACUGAAAAUCCCUGAAGCUGCAUUGGAAAUUUUGGUGUAAGGAUGAGUCCUGGCCAUGGCUCUGAGGUAUAACGUGCAUAUAAGGAGAAUUGUGGCCCAUUUCAAUAAACUUAUAUAUCAGGUAGAUGCAGUUACAGGGAGGAUAAAGGAUGCAGAAAUCUGUUCUCCAUAACCACACCCACCCAAGCAGGUUCAACCAUGGACAAGCCAUUAGACCAUGGUGGAGCAGCUAGAGCAUAUUUCAAGUCUACAUAUAGCACAAUACUUGUGUGGUCUUGGAAAGCAUCAUUUAAAACAAGCUUGUAGUGGUAAACACUGCCCUAAAUUUAUUUGGGAAUCAUGUCUGAGUAGACAAGAAUGCAGUUCUUUUAAUUUUUAUCACUACUUUGAACAUCAUGGUAUUAAAAUAGUUAAACAAAGCUAACUACUACAGAAUAUGGAAUGCAACAAGGGACUUUUUAUUUAAUGGCUUUUCUGUCUGUUGGGGAUGAAUUCUUCUUAUUGGUUGUAAGAAGUGAAUUAAACUUCAUAAGAAUAAAGAUACUGUACUGUACAUCCUCAUGACUUCUUCCACAGCUUACUAACUCUUAGACCUUAAUAGCUUCAUAUUUUACUCUGUCAGUAAGUUGCUUUAUCUAUAGUAUUUGAGUGUCAAAAAUUUUGCCUUUUCACGUUUUUCUGCUUAAUUAAACAAGAAGGACUCCAGCUUAUGAGCACAUGAGUUACGAAUAUCUGCAUAAAAAUUUAAUUUUUUACGUAUUCCAUUUACAGUUAAAAAUGUGUGAAACAUAACCCAUCUUUUGUACCAUUGUUUUCUGUAAGAGAAGGUUCAUGUUUCAAAUGACUUAUUGGCAAGUUGAAGCACCAGAAAUGUAACUUGUUCAUAAGUUGGGGACCUCCUAUGCUGCUUGUUAACAAUUUGUGCAGAAGUUUUGUGAUAUGUAGUUUUUGGGUAGUGCAUGUGUUAGUAAAUCAAUUAGAUACUCUCCAUAAUGAGUGUGUAGAAGUUUUCUGCAUGAUUAUUGUAACCAGUGAUAAUUUUGAAAAUUAACUCCUUAGGAUAAUUCAGAUUAUAAAUAUGUAACUUAUUACCUUCCCUAAUAGAAAGUGGAGCCAUUAGAACGACCAGCACCCGCAGCCAGCUGCUGGACCAGAUCAGAUCUGGAAUCAAGCUGAAUCCUGUGGAAGAGAAUGUGGAUAGUGGAGGUGCCAUGAAAUCUAAUAAGCCCAAGUUAGAGGGAUUGGCACUGGACCUGCAUUGUGCACUGACCAGUUGUGCAUUGGUCAUUCAGUCUGAUGAUGACAGCUCUGAUGAUGAAGAAGAUGAGGAAGAUGAGUGGGCUGAUGAUGAUGAUACUUGAAAAAAGAAGACAUUAAGAUAUUUCAUGUCUAAGGUUGAAGCGCAUGGUGCCAUCACCACUAGACACCUCAGCCUCACUCGUAGAUUUUGUGAGUAUGAGACCUCGUAAUGCAUCAGGGUCCAGCAGUGACCUGCUCGCACCACCCAGGACAUCCAUUCCUCAUCAGCAUCUACUCUAUCGACUUUUGCAGCAAGAUUGCGGCUUGUAUUUCGUGCGACGAGCUGCCUCACUCACUCACACAAGCACCGCCACACACCCGAAGCCACACAAGACUGAUCUGCUUUAUGUAUAAUAUGUAUACCGAUGAUAAUCCAUGCCUCUGGUUUAUUAAAACAUUUGUGCAAAAAUCAUGCUGCUGACUCCUAAUCUCCCCAUAAGCUUUUCUGUCUUGGCCAGACACCAACCCACAACUCAUACUGCUAAUCUCCCACCAUCACAUCUGCACAUUUGCCCACAAAUUGUGCUGCCAAUUACAUACCUGUCCACAACCUACUACGGAAUGCUGGUGCUGUAACUGCUAAUCCAUUUAUCGUACUUUCCUAAAAUCAUUGUUUACAACCUCACUCUUCUUUCCACAACUUAUUUUAGUUAGUGCUACAUUCACUUACUUAGCAAGUGUAGAGUAUCAUUAUAUUCUGGGAAAAUAUUAAUACUUGUUGAGUGUUGUAGUGGCCGGGUAUGUGAGGCAUCUGUGCUGCUGACUGCAUCUUAACAUCAAACUUUGAAACAAAUACUGACUGUACAGUCCUAACUGAACUAACAUUACACAGUUAUAAUAAAAACUCGAGCAUUAAUUUUAAAGUAUGAUUAUCCACAGUGGUGAUGGGUGUCUGGGUUUACCAAGAAUGCAAAACUUUUUUCUUUUUUAAGCUCUAUGGCUGUCUCCUGCCAAGGCAGGGUGACCUAAAGAAAACAUGUUCACCAUCACUCAAUCAAUCGCUGUCUUGCCAAAAGACGAAACUAUUUUCCAAUAAAAACAGCAAAAAGAAAAAUUCAGUUAGGUUUUUAAAAUAAUAACAGAUGUCUGAUUUGUGUUGGAGUGAGAGUUAGGUUAGAUAAUGUUUAUAAUUGAUUAAGAAAACCGACACGUUGAUAAAUGAUGGACUGAACACAUCGACUCCAGACUGAGGGACUGAUUACCUCAAACUCCUCAUCUUCCACCUUUCUCUACAUAUGGACUGAAGCCACUGCUUGGCGAAAUGUUUCCAGAAUAAAUGUACCCAAAUGUUUCAAAGGUUAGGUCAGCUUGGUCAGAAACCAGGACAAGUGUUUCCUGACUUUGGGACAUACACCAAUUAUAAUUACUAAAUAUGAUUUAUUUCUCAUUCUAAACAAAACUCUACGUACAUUGUUCAUCAAAGAUAUUUAGAUUAUUAUACAGUUUCUUAAUUACUACAUGUAUAUAUAAAUUUCACAUUAAAACUGUAGGAGAGGACGGAAACUAAGAACCUCCAUUCACCUCUCAACUGCCAUUAUUCAUCUUUGCUCACUACUGAGUAACUUGGGCAAAACUUCUCCAUUAUGCAUUAAAAAACU